UACGAAGGGGGCUAGCGUUGUUCGGAAUUACUGGGCGUAAAGCGCGCGCAGGCGGCUAUCCAAGUCAGUGGUGAAAGCCCGGAGCUCAACUCCGGAACUGCCAUUGAAACUGUUUAGCUUGAGUUCGGGAGAGGUGAGUGGAACUGCGAGUGUAGAGGUGAAAUUCGUAGAUAUUCGCAAGAACACCAGUGGCGAAGGCGGCUCACUGGCCCGAUACUGACGCUGAGGCACGAAAGCGUGGGGAGCAAACAGG
rnacentral:rRNA from 1 species